rnacentral:tRNA from 1 species
GCCUGCGUGGCUCAGUUGUUUGAGCGUCUGACUUCAGCUCAGGUCGUGAUCUCACAGCUUGUGAGUUCGAACCCCACGUCGGGCU